CAGUAGCAAAGUGAGACAGUGCGCGAACGUUCUAUCAUUAAUCGUAGAUUUUACUCAGUGAAAGUUUGUGUUAGUGCUAAUUUUUGUUGGAGUAUCGAUGGGUGAAUUGGAGCAACAGGCGAACGCAUUAUUUAUUUACGUGUUUUCAAAAGACACAGCAUUUUUGAAAUCCAUAAUUGCGGAAAAUGAUGACAAUAAUUGGAUCUAUUAUGUGCAUGGAUUCGUUAUAUUGGGCACUGCUAUAGCAAUGUAUCUAACCAGACGGAAUCUAGCUGCGUAGUAAUAUAUACAGCAAUCGAUCAACUUUGUGCGCGUAAUCGGUGCUACAAAAUAUAUU